rnacentral:misc_RNA from 1 species
ACGCAGGGCGAGUAGUCGCCUUUAUGUCCGUGAGGAGAGACGUGUGGUGUCCUCUCACUCCCACCCCACAUCAAGCCUUCCAUCGAGCACAGCCACCAACCAACCACCUAGCACCCCCCUCCCACAAACACACGCAACCGAGGAGAGAUGCACAUGCGAAAGGGAGGACAGCGUAGCCGUUCGUUGCGUCUCCCUCUUCAUUCCCUCUCGCUGUUUUUCAUGUUAUUGUUAUCUCAUUUCAGCUCGCGUCUCUGCCGACGACGCCGCUGACUUGGUUUACGCAUUUACGGCCUAGUCUGCUUUGGAUCCGCGUGCAUCUCUAGAGCAUAGACCUCUUUUAUUCAGCAUUCUCUUUCCUAGAUGCACGUACACUGACCUCCGCACUUUCUUUUUUUUUUCUGUCCAAAGAGACGCACACGUACGCACAUACGCCGCCCAUUGUCCAUCAACGGACAGAAUUGGCCAGACCGCCGCGUGAGGAAACCGUUUUCGCUCAUACCGGCGCGUCAGCCCUAUUCGCCGAAUGGAGCGGGACAAGCCGCCACCGGCUCUACGCUUUGCUCGUCAGUGGACAUUGCCUUCCAGUUCGGCGAGCGACGCCGGUUUCGCUACCCUUGCCUAUCCGUCGUGGCACACAGAGUCCCCCUCACCAUUUAACCGAUCUCAGGUGCCCCUGACGCCAUCCCCCGACAGAGCCGGGCGGCGACAACCGCUGGAAGGUUCCCUCGCGCCAGGCUCGCCGUCUCCUAUACCACCCUCGGAGCUGUCAGCGCUGACUUCGGGAGGUGCCGCGCACCACACCGAUGCCUCACUGCAGCGGGCGUCGCGCCCUGUGCCAGCUGCUCCGUCCGCAAGCAACGUCGCAGCACGAUGCGUACAGCCGGUGAUGCUAGCCAGUGAUGCGGAUGGCAAGUCGUUCUGGCGGCGCCAAGCGCAGCGCCUCGAGGCGAAGUGCGCCGCACUGGAGGAGGAGCUCAAAACCGUCUACCGCGUCCUCGGCAAAGAGGCCAAUGAUAUCCCUCGUGCGCUGGAGGCGAGUAGUCAUACCUCUUUGAUGGCGGCCGGAAGCGUCAACCCUACCUAUGAGACGGUGGCGCAGGAGCGCGACAUGGCGCGGCUGGAGCUGACGCGAGAAAGGGAAAAAAAUUUUCUUCUGCGUCACCGCCUGCGGGAGAUGGAUGCGGAGGUGCAUCGGCUGCAAAGUCGGCAUGCCCGUGACGUAGGCAAGCAGCGCGUUGGCGAUGCAUCAAAGCGGGCGUCGCCGUCUUCUAAGUCUGUCUCAAAAAUGGGUGUGCUUUCCUCGAGACACCAGCGCGCUUCCAGUCGCUGCUGCUCGAGCUCUUGCUCUUCGACACAAUCCACACGUGAUGUGCGGCGUUCGCCCAUCUACCCACGCUCUCGCAGCAUCACGCGACCGUACACUUCGUCGUCCGCAAAGCGGGAGGAGUCGCCACGACCAACGCCGGCGCCGGUGUCCACGUCUUCUGCCCACUACAGCGACAACUCUAUGAUCACCCGGUCUUCGACCGCCUCAACGUCGUCCUCGACACACCGUGAGAGUGGCCGCCGGGCCGCCAACACGUCUGCGGCAGCUCCAGCAGCUUUCGGAAAACCCCGUGGUCGUAGCACGCACUCGCCUCUGAAACCGAGCCGACAGGCGACAGACCCCUACGAAGCGGAGGCGCGUGACUUGCUCACAUGGCUGCUAAGUGCUCGCCCUUCCUCGUCCUCUCCGAGCCGGUGCCAGCCGUUCGUGUGGCGGAAAGGCGCUGCCGGGUCACGCGGGCCAGAACCUCUACGCCGCUCUAACCUUGAGAGUCCACCCAGACGUGUGCGCCAUAACGACCUCUUCAGUGCCACUGUCGCCGUCAGCGAAGGCGAAGGAAACGGCGGCCGAUUGGCGCAUGGAACGGCACGGGGAGCGGCGAAGGCUCGUCCAGCGAUUCGGGACAGUCGACUGCUGUCGCCUAUUCCGCUGCAGCAAGAGAGGGAUGCCGCUGAUGACGAAAAAGCAAGGGACCACCCCACAGGUGCCGUUCGGUCGCUCUGUGCGAUGCCGUUGCAGGUGCGAGCGCCACGGAGCGCCGCGGGCCCGUCUCGCGACGCGCUCUCCGGCAAAGGGGCCCUUAGAGGGCACGCUGGCGAUGGGGAAUGGAUUGCGUGGCAGCCGCACGUUAUAGCGCCAGGGCAACAGUCUGGUGGGGCGUAAAAAGCGGCGGCGCUUCUCUUUUUCACGUGCAUUCCAUUGGCAUCGUGCUUUUUCUCCUGCCUUUUGGCACUCGGUGAAGGACCGGCGCGUUCGUCGCAUGGUAGCUGCGGGCAGUGGACGCUUUUUCCGUGAGUCCGUGGUGGUGGUAGUGGUGCUGCUGCUGUGCGUGCGCAUGAUGCAUGAGCCACAGCGGCGACGGAAAGGGCAAGAGAGACGCGGCGCAAUCGUGUAUCAGCGGUGCGUCGGAGACCAUCGGCGAAAACGACGCCACCGGCAGCCCCCAUGUCCCACAGGUAAGCCGAUGAGAAGCGAGACCCUUGGAGACUAUUGAAUAUCAAAGUGCACGGUUGUGUUCACGCAGAGGUGAGGCGGUGUGUGUGGUGGCCGCUCCCAGAGCUUCACCAAGGCUGUUGAAGCCGAGGUUAGUGCCGGAAAG